UAUUUAUAGAAAAUACAGAUAAAAUGAGAUUAGAUGUUGCUGUCAAUUUAGGUUCUUUUGUCUGUAACAGUUUAUGCAUUCAGGUUGUGGAGGUACAAAUCCGUUUAUUUGUAUUAGCAGUCCACUCCAGGUUAUAAUAAAUUGAAGCACUUCAUAGGAGAAACUACAUCGAAGUACAGUAGCAUUUCUCUACCGCCUGAAGCAUGUUCACAAGACAGGCAAAUGGUAAUCACACAUUUUAAUAUUUCUUAUUCAGGCUUUGAUUUAUUCGCUUGCUUCCUUCAGUACGGAAAAAUUGUGUGUGUUGGCUGGGCAUGGCAGCAUUGGGCACUUGAAGAAAUGCCUUAUUUGAGGUGCCAGUCAAUUGUAUGGCAGGUAUCCAAAUGACCAAUUUAUUGGUGCCAGUCAACGUAAACUGUAGCAUCCUGCAAGGGAAAAACUUCACAUACAAUGAGUGAGCCAGGUUUGGAACCCUCGAGUCUAAACAGGUUAGAUUUCAUAAUGGGCAGCAUAGUGACCAGAACAGCUAUUUUUUAAAUGAACAUAAUCCUAAACAAUGUUUUUCUGUUUUAAAUUUAGGAAGAGAAGAAAAUAUGUUGAUACAUUUGUUUUUGGUGUAAAAUGAGAAAGAUAAACAUUUUAUUCAGCUGUUGCUAAAACAUCUGGUAUGCAUAUGAGGAAGUACAGUUGCAUGCAAUUGUUUAGCUGUCCGGACAAGCUGUACAUUUUGCUAGGUGAAAGGAAUUUAAAGCAAAUCUCUGCAGUGUAUAUACACAAUACACAAACAGAUUUCUACGUAUUCUUAUGUACAAUUGCUGUGUAUUUGUUAAAUCUGACCCUUUCAGUUUGAACUUCAUAACUUCUUCUCUAGCAGGAAUUAGAUUAAAAAUGUUUGAUAUACUGAAGUGUGUUUCUGUAUAUUUGACAUCUAUCCACAGGUUUUAAUAACAUUUAAAUAUUAGGACUGUGAAGGCAAUUUCAAAACCUUAAACUUUAAUUAUAUAUAUAGAUGUUUGUAGGGUAUGUUUUGCAUCACUAUCUUGGUGAAAUAUCCAACCAUUUUUCUGUUUCAGUCUUUUCAUUGAAUUUAAGACAUAACCUUUGUUGACAUUUUCAUAUAUUCCUCAUUCCACCUGACCAAUACUUUAUUGGCUGCCACACAUACUUAAAGGAAUAAUGCACUCAAUUUUUUUUUCUUUAAUAUGUUACCCAGUGGACUUCCCCUCAUUCAUUAGUCAAGAGUCCUGUCUUCAUUUUCAAAGCUCAUUUCUGUGUGAACGCAUUUGCCCUGCCUUAGUUUUAUGUAUAUAUUGUACAAUAUAUUAGGAAAAAAUGUGUGAGUUUUAUUUGUUAGCCAUGACUGGAUGACUUGACAAGUGUCUUAUGUGACAUGAUUAAUGUGAGAUUUUUUUUUUUUAAUGGACGUUUUUGAUAUUGCUUGCUGUUGUAUGAUGGAAGGAGUAACAUACAAAAUAAUUUUGGGGGGAGUACUCCUUUAAAGCAGAAUACAUGGACCCCAUUCAGUAUGUUUGGCAAGGUAUUCAUUUCUACAAAUACUUGACCAAAUUUUCAGCAAGUGAAUGCUUAGGAGUAUUUGGGGGUUUGGGGGGGAGACAAAACUUAUUCUUCAAAGCAGUGCUGUUUUGUGAACAACCACUCUGGUGGUCCACUAAAGCUUUCUGCAGGUCUCUUACAGUGAUAAAUAGGUUCUGCUUUGCACAUUCAUCCAGUUUACAAGGAGUGACAGUUGAGACAUAAGUUUACAUACACCUUGGCUAAAACUUUCAAACUGAAAAUCCCCCAACUUCACACAUACCACAUUACCUAACAAUUCAUGUGUUAAGUCAAGUGGUGUGUUUUGUGAGAAACCUGUAGAAGGCUAUCCUAUGUAUUUGAUCUUGUUAAGCAAUUUCAAGGUAACACCACCAAAUACUAACUUGGUGUAUGUAAACUUUUGAUCCAGUAAAUAUCCAUCCAUUUUCCAACCCGCUGAAUCCGAACACAGGGUCACGGGGGUCUGCUGGAGCCAAUCCCAGCCAACACAGGGCACAAGGCAGGAACUAAUCCCGGGCAGGGUGCCAACCCACCGCAGCCAGUAAAUAUCUGACACAGUAAUUACAAGCUAAAAUAAAUUUGUAUCUUAUUAUUUUGGAGAAAAAAUCUUAUGAAAAUUAAGUAGAUACACUAAUUGACUUAACACAUUAAUUAUUUUAGAACAUGAUAUGUGUGGACUUUGGGAAUUUUGAGUUUGAAAAUCUGUUUAGCUAAGGUGUAUGUAAACUUGAGGGUUAGGAUAUGUAUUCAAGAAUCUUAUUUACCUGGCAUACUUUAAGGCAGCAAUCUUGUUUUGGGUCCAUAGAAAGUAUUAUUGAGCUGUAAAUAAACCCAAAAUUCUGCACUUGUAAAUUUUAUUAUUUUCUUAAAAGAUAUUAAACUCAACAGGUGAACAGUAAAUGCCAUUAAUUUUGCAGAAUUGCAACAUUUAAUUUUGUAUCCUGCUGUAAUUAUAUUAAGUACAGUUUAUUUAGAGACACUUUGAAAUGUGUAGUUUGACCAGACCAGGAGUGCCAAAACUUUUGAAUGCAACUUUAGGUAAGCUAUGAAUGCAUCAUCAGUUUUCAAUUAUUCAUAAGUUGCAUAAAAUUAAUAGGACAAGAAACCAAUAAUUGGCAGGCAUGCUCAACUACCUGAUAUAGUCUGUACAGUGCAUCCGGAAAGUAUUCACAGCGCAUCACUUUUUCCCACAUUUUGUUAUGUUACAGCCUUAUUCCAAAAUGGAUUAAAUUAAUUUUUUUCCUCAGAAUUCUACACACAACACCCCAUAACGACAACAUGAAAAAAGUUUACUUGAGGUUUUUGCAAAUUCAAUUUAAACCAGGCACCGCUCAUCACCAGGCCAAUACCAUCCCUACAGUGAAGCAUGGUGGUGGCAUCAUCAUGCUGUGUGGAUGUUUUUCAGCAGCAGGGACUGGGAGACUAGUCAGGAUAAAGGGAAAGAUGACUGCAGCAAUGUACAGAGACAUCCUGGAUGAAAACCUGCUCCAGAGCGCUCUUGACCUCAGACUGGGGCGACGGUUCAUCUUUCAGCAGGACAACGACCCUAAGCACACAGCCAAGAUAUCAAAGAAGUGGCUUCAGGACAACUCUGUGAAUGUCUUUGAGUGGCCCAGCCAGAGCCCAGACUUGAAUCUGAUUGAACAUCUCAGGAGAGAUCUUAAAAUGGCUGUACACCGACGCUUCCCAUCCAACCUGAUGGAGCUUGAGAGGUGCUGCAAAGAGGAAUGGGUGAAACUGGCCAAGGAUAGGUGUGCCAAGCUUGUGGCAUCAUAUUCAGAAAGACUUGAGGCUGUAAUUGCUGCCAAAGGUGCAUCGACAAAGUAUUGAGCAAAGGCUGUGAAUACUUAUGUACUGUACAUGUGAUUUCUCAGUUUUUUAUUUUUAUUAAAUUUGCAAAAACCUCAAGUAAACUUUUUUCACAUUGUCAUUAUGGGGUGUUGUGUGUAGAAUUCUGAGGAAAAUAAUGAAUUUAAUCCAUUUUGGAAUGAGGCUGUAACAUAACAAAAUGUGGAAAAAGUGAUGCGCUGUGAAUACUUUCAGGAUGCACUGUAUAUUAAGAAUAGAGAGCUAUACAUUCUGGAAAUAGGUAAGGUCCAAAGACUCCUAAAGUGCAUUAAAGUCCACUUUAGAUGGUUGAUGCCGCAAGAAAAGUUCUAGAAAUAAAGCAAGAAGAGUUGGAUACUGAGCCCUGUGACAUGUACUGUCCUAAAGGAAUGCUGUAUGUAAAUGGGAGAAAAAAAAAACAGUAAAUAAACAGUAUUGAUUGAGGCAAGUGGGUUUUCACCUACAAUUGUUUAAUAUUAGCCUUGAAUUAAAAGGUAUAAUUGAAGGAGCCCACACAGAUGUAACAUUCAUAGGGGUGACAGGGGCUAGAUGAGCAUUCAGCCAUGAGUUGCUCAAUAAGGUUAGCAUCAGAAGGCCUGUGUCGUCUCGUGAGGGUAUAUAGUUGUAAGCAGUGCCUAUUCUCAGAUAUUUGAUGUUGACAGUUUAUAAAGAGAAUACAUUCUUGUACAUGACCGUAUAUUUUUGAUGUGAGGCCAACAUAUUGGAGCUUCUUGAAGUGUAAUGCAUUCCUGGAAAAUGAUCCUGAAUUGGGUUACAUUUGAACAUACAGGCAGAUACGUUGUGAAGGCUUGGUUUUGAAAUGAUACUACUAAUUACAAUAAUGUGCAUGAGGCAGAGGAUAUCUGCAUGUCAUACCCAGAUUUUUACAGGUGAAUUAUGGUCAUAUUGUGCUUGUCAUGGAUAUUUGUGAACAUUUAAUCCAGAUGAUAUAGAUAAUUUUGAACUUUUUCCAACUUGACUAUCAUGGCAUCAUUGGGUCAAGGGAAAGGCCCAACCAUGAAUGGGAUGCUAUUCCAUUGCAUGCCCCACCCCCACCAAGAGGCGUUACUUUGUAUGUUAUAAAACUCCAAUAGACAUGUAGUGAAUGUGCAAACUCCAUGUAGACUGCAACAGGGUGGGAGAUUUGAACCCAGAGUCUGAUGUAGCAGUGCUAACCAUAACCACUAUACCACUAUAUGACAUCCUAAAAGUAGUAUGCUGAAUUUCUUUUGUAAAGCCCUUAUAACCUUACCUAAUUGUAACCAGUUACAUAUGUACAUGAGUGGCCUUUAUUUACUUUAUAUUACACGGUUAUACAAACAGAACUAUACACACACUAAAUUUAUGAGACAUUUAUUUGUUGCGUUUUUUUUUAUUUUCUUUUCUCAAUAGGCAUACAGCAAAUCCACGAGGUUGUUGAUAUAACUCUGAGUGGCCUCAUUCUGUGACCUUGAGCAAGUCACUUAAUUAAUCUUUGCUUUGUUUGUUUAAAAAAUUAUUUGCAUACAACUAUUUACUGGUCUUAUAAAUUUCCUAGGAUAGAUAGAAGUUUUAUUUAAUCCAAGCAGGAAACUGGGAAUAAGGGAAUCUGUCUCACAAACUAUAUAAUAAAACAUUGCACAAUGUUCUUUGUAGUGAAUAUGUUGAGUACUUACAUACUAUAGUUGAAAGUAUCGCCCUAUGGAUAUUGGCUACAUAUUAUUUUCUGUGUAUUAAAAAGUAAUCGAUGACCUACUGCCUAAUUAUGUUUUAUGUAAUUGGCUGCAAGUUCCCUUUAGUGUUCAAUUCUUUUUUUGGGUUUGCUGAUGCUCUUCAAAAUAUUUGAGUAAAAAUUGUGAAAUUAGAAAGUUGGCAGAGCAAAAGACAAAGCUUGUCAGCAACUGUGUUUAUUCUCGAAGGUAAAUAAAUAAUUGAGCAUCCUUGUUAUUAAGGACCUUGGUGAUCUUCUAUGUAGUAGCUACAGCACAUCUCUUAAGAUAGUUGCUUCACGACUCUGUUGCUGUGCUCAAAACGUUUAAAAAGGAAAAAUGUAUCUUGGGUAGCACCACAAGUAAUUUUUUGCCAUGAUUUCAUAUUUCAUUGAUUGUAAUUUGCCGAUAAACUGUAUAAGUUUGACAAAAUGCUUCCCAAAUGACAAUAUCUGUUAAUACUCUAGCAAAAAUGAAUGGUUGUCUCACAAUUUACACAUAACUUACUCAAGUCCAGAAAUUCUCAGUCCACCAGUAAGUGUAUAGAUAAGAAACAUUUAAAUAAUUGAUAUGCUUAAAUGAUGUUUUAUCCACAGAAAUCUAAAAAACAUACACAUAGUAUAUUUAAAUUGGUCUGUAAUAUCAGACUGAUGUGCUCAGGUUGCAUGCUGAACUGGUGCCAAAAAUGAAUUGGUCUAUAUAUAUAUUGUUUUAUAAAAUAACAUUAAGAGCAUUGAUAGGAGUAUUGCUUUGUAAAAUCCUGUACUGAGAAAAGUAGGUUCAGGUAAUAGGUGGGUGGAUGGCAGUUCUUUCUUGUAGUCUAUUCCCUAAGCUAUUAGACAACAUUAUGUAGUAUAUUUGAGAUUAACUUUUGGUGAAUGUUUCUAGAACAAAUUGUAAGGAUUUUUGGUUCUGACAGAAGGUAUCAGAACAGGCUAUUAACCACCAUGGGCCAUGGUUAUAAUUGGAAAGUCAGAUAGUGGUUGAAUGGUGAUUGAAUGAUGGAAAUUUCACAAUGCAGACUGUUACCAAAGAUCACUACAAAUGGAAAACAAGUGCAUCUUGUUUAGUCUCUUUGCUUUCAAUAAAGGAUGUGAUGCUGUAUUUUUCUUUUCCUGUCAAUGAUGGAGAUGCUGCAUUUCACAGAGGACAGUUUGAUAUCUAUGUUGGUAUUUAUACAAUGGUAAAUGCCCUUCUGUUUUUGUGGGAUGUACUGAUGGGUUUACCCAUUACAUUUACUGUGUGUAUGCUUAAAAAUACAUAUUCUAAAGAAGUGAAAACUGUGAUCAGUGUUGUUUGUGUCAUUUAUUUACUGAACCUAUGUUAAAAUAUACAUUUCCCCAAUGGUACGAAUAAAGUGCUGUCAAAUCAAA